rnacentral:rRNA from 1 species
ACUCCUACGGGAGGCAGCAGUGGGGGAAUAUUGCACAAUGGGGGGAAAACCCCUGAUGCAGCCAUGCCGCGUGUGUGAAGAAGGCCUUCGGGUUGUAAAGCACUUUCAGUAGGGAGGAAGGUAGUGUAGUUAACACCUGCAUUAUUUGUACGUUACCUACAGAAGAAGCACCGGCUAACUCCGUGCCAGCAGCCGCGGUAAUACGGAGGGUGCGAGCGUUAAUCGGAAUUACUGGGCGUAAAGCGCAUGCAGGCGGCCUGUUAAGUCAGAUGUGAAAGCCCGGGGUCUUAACCUCGGAAUUGCAUUUGAAACUGGCAGGCUAGAGUCUUGUAGGAGGGGGUUAGAAGUUUCAGGUGUAGCGGUGAAAUGCGUAGAGAUCGUGAAGG